UGGUGACGAGAGCCGGGGGAACAAGUUACCUCCUGAAAAAAAAAAAAAAGAGGAGGAAAAAGAACGAGCGCAAGGCCCGAGGGGAAUGAAAGAGAGACAGCAGAAGAACAAGGGAGGAACCGGACCCCGCUGUACGGUCCCUCGGUGCUCUUUAAGCACAACUGCUUAAAAAGGAUUUGAGGACCGCCUUCAAAAGAUCUCCACAGUAACGUGCAUGCACAGCUUUCUUUUUUAAAUGAUAGGAACUCCAUUAUAAACCGCACAGAAACGCAGCUAUAUUAAAAGAAGAGCAGAGGGAGAGUGGAGCUAUCCGAAAACUAGCACACUAAUCAAAGCCAUAUGACCGGCUCAAAGUGAAGGCUGUGUGGAGCGAACAGAUGCUAAGUGUCCC
ensembl:lncRNA